GGGGUUUGGGUAGCUGUCAUGUGAUAAGUGUUUGGUGGCACUGAAAAUGUACUUCCUCACAAUAAUGUCUUUACAUUUUUCUGCUAACAAUAUCCUUUGUACGACAAACUAAUAAUCAACUUUACAUCUACUGCCGGUAAUUCUCUCAGUAUGCAGCCGAACUCGACAAACAAAAAACUCCAACUCAUUCUUGGCCUUCAGGGAAUACUGCAGAGGGUUCAAUUAAACAGAUACGAGUACAAUAAUGUAUAAGUCAAUUAGAGCAGGCCAUGUUAUUAUUAUUAUUCACGUCAGAGAUAGACGUACGUCAAGGAAUCAUAAACCAAGCCUAUUAAUCUUUAAAGGCCAGCUUUGAGCUUUGAGCUUUACCACCAACUACGCACGCCGCUGUGAAAUUUGAGUUGGUAAGAAGUAGACACCAUAAAGAUCAGUAAAACGUAAAACAUAUCUAAGACGUGAAGAAAAAGGUGGGAAGUGGAGGAGAAUGAAAAAAGUGAAAGCGAAAGCGAAAGCGACAGGGUAUUUCAGCAACAAAUUUUUGACUCUGACGAUUGAGUAACUCCAUAAAAUUACAGAGGUAGGGGACCAAAGAUUUGAUUGAGUUGAAGGCGAAGAAGCAUCAGAAUCACCAAAACUACCUGGGGCUCAGGUGAGGUCAUCACAGUGCUACUCGCCAAUAUAAUCUCUCUCUUGCAUUUGCCUGGUGCCUGGCUAUUCACUUACUGUAGCCCCAAUCACAUGGGUUGUAUAAAUUCUGUCUGUAGCAUCUACC
rnacentral:lncRNA from 1 species